rnacentral:piRNA from 1 species
GAAGCGGUCUUCGAAGAAUGAUGAACU